GUCCCUAUGAGGACAUCCGAUAAAAUCGGAACAGUACGGAGAAGAUUAGCAUGGCCCUUGCACAAGGAUGACAUGCACAAGUUAAAUCAAAAGUCUCA
rfam:Cucumis sativus cultivar 9930 chromosome 7, whole genome shotgun sequence.